GACGAACGCUGUCGGCGUGCUUAACACAUGCAAGUCGAACGGAAAGGCCCUGCUUUUGUGGGGUGCUCGAGUGGCGAACGGGUGAGUAACACGUGAGUAACCUGCCCUUGACUUUGGGAUAACUUCAGGAAACUGGGGCUAAUACCGGAUAGGAGCUCCUGCUGCAUGGUGGGGGUUGGAAAGUUUCGGCGGUUGGGGAUGGACUCGCGGCUUAUCAGCUUGUUGGUGGGGUAGUGGCUUACCAAGGCUUUGACGGGUAGCCGGCCUGAGAGGGUGACCGGCCACAUUGGGACUGAGAUACGGCCCAGACUCCUACGGGAGGCAGCAGUGGGGAAUAUUGCACAAUGGGCGGAAGCCUGAUGCAGCAACGCCGCGUGCGGGAUGACGGCCUUCGGGUUGUAAACCGCUUUCGCCUGUGACGAAGCGUGAGUGACGGUAAUGGGUAAAGAAGCACCGGCUAACUACGUGCCAGCAGCCGCGGUGAUACGUAGGGUGCGAGCGUUGUCCGGAUUUAUUGGGCGUAAAGGGCUCGUAGGUGGUUGAUCGCGUCGGAAGUGUAAUCUUGGGGCUUAACCCUGAGCGUGCUUUCGAUACGGGUUGACUUGAGGAAGGUAGGGGAGAAUGGAAUUCCUGGUGGAGCGGUGGAAUGCGCAGAUAUCAGGAGGAACACCAGUGGCGAAGGCGGUUCUCUGGGCCUUUCCUGACGCUGAGGAGCGAAAGCGUGGGGAGCGAACAGGCUUAGAUACCCUGGUAGUCCACGCUGUAAACGGUGGGUACUAGGUGUGGGGUCCAUUCCACGGGUUCCGUGCCGUAGCUAACGCUUUAAGUACCCCGCCUGGGGAGUACGGCCGCAAGGCUAAAACUCAAAGGAAUUGACGGGGCCCCGCACAAGCGGCGGAGCAUGCGGAUUAAUUCGAUGCAACGCGUAGAACCUUACCUGGGUUUGACAUGGAUCGGGAGUGCUCAGAGAUGGGUGUGCCUCUUUUGGGGUCGGUUCACAGGUGGUGCAUGGCUGUCGUCAGCCCGUGUCGUGAGAUGUUGGGUUAAGUCCCGCAACGAGCGCAACCCUUGUUCACUGUUGCCAACACGUUAUGGUGGGGACUCAGUGGAGACCGCCGGGGUCAACUCGGAGGAAGGUGGGGAUGACGUCAAGUCAUCAUGCCCCUUAUGUCCAGGGCUUCACGCAUGCUACAAUGGCUGGUACAGAGAGUGGCGAGCCUGUGAGGGUGAGCGAAUCUCGGAAAGCCGGUCUCAGUUCGGAUUGGGGUCUGCAACUCGACCUCAUGAAGUCGGAGUCGCUAGUAAUCGCAGAUCAGCAACGCUGCGGUGAAUACGUUCCCGGG
rnacentral:rRNA from 1 species